rnacentral:lncRNA from 1 species
GCGGGACUCGGGUGCGCCGCCGAGGCGGUCGUGUACCGGGGACCCUCCGGCCGCCGCGCCUCCGGAAUCACGGUGUGUCCGCCGGCCCGGGCGUGAGUCUCUGGGAAGGGGCGGAAUUCCGGCGGCGCGUCGCCCGGACGCUGGGGCGGACACCUGGGGGGGCGGCCGGGGGGCCGAAGGGACUGCGCCGGCCGGGCCGUGGCGGGUGGGUUGGCCUGCCCCCGCGCCCCUCGGCGUCCGUCUCCCCCACUCCCGGGGGCCUCACCUGCGGGAAGCCCCCCUCCCCGCCGCCCCGGGGACCCCGGAGGCCCGGGUCUGCCUGCGCUUUGGCCUUCUGCCCUCCCCGCCCGAAGAAAGUUAAGAAACGGACCCGCGGUGGGUUCUGCGCGUCGCCUCGAAGCUUGGGGUCACGGGCCGCACCUGCUCGGAAUCGGGUCUUGAGCCCCGGUGUUUGGCCUCUGACCUCGGCCCCCUGGUGUGCUUGCGUGUUAAUUGGAUCCAUCAAAGGCUUUUCUGGCACAGAAGUCUUGGUAUCCCACCCGACAGCCUCAGGAUUUCCUUCGUAGAUGAUUAUUACUACCACGACCACCACUGCUUUUUGCUUUUAAGGGUCGGCCGAGCCUAGUCUCCCAAGUCAGCGGGGCUCUGGGUUCCCUGAAAUGACUGAUGCCAAUGUGAUGUGUUUAUGGGCAUAAGAAAGGGCAGUCUUUACCUAAUGAGCUUUCCUUCUCUCUCUCCCUCCUCCAUUUUCAUCCUGUCUCUGCCAAAAAAAAAAAAAAAGACAUGAUUUUAUCAUCUUGUUAAUUCCCUCGUUAGCAAGAUAAUAAGGUUUGGCAGGUGGCCGGUAGAAAUUUAUCUAAGACACUUUCAUUUACAGUCUCUUCCCUGCCACUCAGAAAUAGGAGGGAGUUAAUGUGCCCAGAAAGCAGGCCCGGGUCUCAGGGGCCUGGGAGACGUUGGAGAUCUGUCCUCGGAUGCCAGUGGACGGGAACACCGAAGCGAGUGUGCCCCAAGCCAACCAGUUGCAAAUGGGUGACAGUUUCGUUUAGAAACCCGUGGCUCUCUGCUUCUCUUCAGACCAGGAGAACCCUGGCAAGAUGCAGCUGCCCUACCCUUCUAGACACUCUGCCCUUUCUCACCUUUCGCUCCCCAGUGCCCCUCACUUAACCCCAGAUGGGAGCUCGGGCUGCAGCCCUGACUGAUCUCACAUCGUCUGGCAGGUGGAGAACAGAUAGGCCCUAGACGGCGGCUGACGCCAGGUGGGCUCUUGUCCCGCGGCUCGCCUUGCACACCAGCUUUCCUUCGGUCGUGUCCUUUAUUCUCCCUUCCCCAAACUUGGCGUUAGCAGCCUUCUUCCAGGUCUCCCGUCCAACCCCAAAGCACGAUCUUGCCCUGAGUAAGAGGCAGAGAGAAGGUGGCCUUGCGACUUUGGGGGUGGCAUUGAGACCAGAACCCAAGUUAGAACUGGCUCCCAGAAAUCCAGAUCAGUAAAUGCUGCUAAAAUGCGCCCUGUGCGAGUCUGCUGGGAAUGGGGUGGGGCAUGUAUUGGAUGGGGCGGGAUUUGCUCCGUGGAUACUGGCGACAGGCUUGCGAGGAAAGAGAAAAAACCAUAUGGGGGAAGGAUUUUGAGAGCUGUGCCAGACCUCACAGGGAAUCUCGCCCGGGAUGUGCUCUAGGUCAGUAGGGUCUUUGCACUCGCCCCUCCUGCGUUAAUGUGCCGGAGCUGUGUGACAAAAUGCCACAGGCCGCGUGUCGGAAACAACAGAAGUGUAUUUUCUCCCAGUUCUAAAGGCUGGAAGUCCGGCAUCAGGAUGUUGACAGGUUUGGUUUCUUCCCAAGCCUCUCUCCUUAGCUUGGAUGGUCACCCCUCUGUGUUGUCUGUGUCCCGAUCCCCUCUUAUAAGGACAGGAAUGCUGUCGGUCGGGGCCCACCCCUACGUCCUCAUUUUACCUUAACUGCCUUUUUAAAGGCCCUGCCUCCAACUGCAGUCACAGUAUGAGCUCCUGGGGGUCAGGACUUCUACCUAUGAAUUUGGGGAGGGGGUGUGCAAAUUCAGCUCACUUCUGGGGACUGAGAUGGAUGUAUCACAUAUCCUGUUGACACAGUUUGGAGAAUCCCCAGCAGUGCGUCUCCCAGAGGAUUAUAGCACAGCUGCUUCGAAGUCGGCGUUAGCAGGUUUCUCCUGCACAUGAAAGCUAGGAUUUACUCUUCAUUUGACCAUUAGGUGUUUUAGGCUAUUUCUGCCAGUUAAUUUAAACUUCCUAGGUCUCUUACUAAUGGAAAAAUGCACAUCUUCGUAGCUAACAGAAGCAUUUUAAGGAAAGGAUGUUGCCUCUCCCCCGGGGCUGCUGAGGGAGAGAGAGCCUCGACGUUACAGAACAAGCAGUCUGGUUAAAUGAAGAGUUCUCCGGUGAGGUGUGCAACCUGGGAGAGAGUGAUUCAGAGUCUCACUGUGUUCCUGUUCUGUUCUCUGUUACAAUAGCACUUCCAAGGACAAAGCUGUAUUCACAAAGGGGGACUGUUAAAUUCCUAAAACUUGAAACAUUGUUGCCCUGUCUUGAUCAUUUCUUGCCCUGGAGAUAGCCAUGGAAAGUCCUAUUUCUGGAUUCCCGCAGUUACAACAUUAGGUAGAUUUAUCUGCCAGCCCGUAAUAGUUCUUCCCUCUGACAUACACGAUGGAAUGUUUGUCGCCCUGUGAAUUCUAUAUUUUAUUGUCUGACAAAUUAUUUCGUCUUGUUUUAAUUCUUAAAAUAUGGGGGGGGUUGUUUUGUUUUUUUUUGAAUCAGUAGACUUCAUUUUUUUUUUAAGAACAGUUUUAGUCUUUCAGACAAAUUGAGCACAAAGUACAGUUUCUCCUAUUAUUAAAGUUUCUCUUCUUAUUAACAACUUGCACUGGCGUGGUACAUGUGUUACAAUCGAUGAGCCAGGAUUUCCACAUAAUUACCUGAGGUCCACAGUCUACAUUCGGCCUCCCUCUUUGUAUACAGUGGAGUUUUGCUAAAUGCCUAAUGUCGCGUAUCCACCAUUACGGUAACAUACAGAACGGUUUCACUGCCCUCAAAAGCCCCCUGUACGCGGGGAGCCUGGGUGGCUCGGUCGGUUAAGCGUCCGACUUCGGCUCAGGUCAUGAGUUCGAGCCCCGCAUUGGGCUCUGCGCUGACAGCUCAGAGCCUGGAGCCUGCUUCGGAUUCUGUCUCCCUCUCUCUGCGCCUCCCCUGUUCAUGCUCUGUCUCUCUCUGUCUCAGAGAUGAGUAAACAUUAAGAAAAAAAAAUUUUUUUAAAUAAUUAUGCCAGGACAACAGGGAUAAACCCAGCCACCCUAGCACCAGACCAAAUGAUUUUCAUGCCGUAAAAGAUCUCUCAACGUUGGUCCCUUCAUCUUAAGAGCAGCUGUCUCCCUGCCUGUCCCUCUCCAGGCACACCGUCACCACACGCAGCGUUAGCCUGUGGGAUCUCUAGCCUCCUCAAUUAUUUUCUUUAAAAAUCAUUUUCUGUAUUGCGCCAGAAUUUGGGUUAAAACACACACACACACACACACACACACACACACACACACACACACACACCUUUUGUUCUCUAAGAAUUGUUCAAGCAUUUCUUUAGUGGUACGUUUGGGAGAGGAAAUAAAAAGAGGAUAAAUUAGGCCUAAGUUCACGGAACGUCUGGGGCCGCGUGUCCUCGGACGAGGGCGGGCGAGUCCCCUGGACCGGCAGACCCAUGCUGCGCUUCUGUGGCAGCAGGGGCUUCGUGACCCUCAGGAAUUUAGAAUAUUUAGAGGCGGGCGAAGGGCGCUGCAAGGGGAGAGAAGGGUCCUGCUAAUUUCACAUUAGCUUUUCACUGCAUUGCUGUUCAGCAUGAGAAUACAACUGUCCCUCCUGUUCAUAUCCUUCCCUGUUCCCAAAGUCCCUCACCAGGUCCCAAGGGCAACACUGACAGAUUCAGACACUUUGGCUCUUUCUUCUUCAUGCUAAUAUAUUUCUCCCUCUGUUGCACGAGGAGGAAGGGAGAAACAAAAUUUUCAGCGGCUCUAGUCAUGGUGAAAAAGUGGGGAGAAAAAUGGCUAAUUUGAUACUUUAGCACGACUUACAGGUGGGUCCUUUUGUUAGCCAAGGAACAUAAAAUCAAAACAGGUUUGCUCAAGGAUCAGGUUUGCCCACGAAGUAUCUAGAUAGUGAGGUCCAGCAAAAGAACACAACAGAACUUUGGAGCAGUUUAGGGACAAGGUAAUUUUUUUUUUUUCCUCAAAACGUUGUGGAGUGGGGCAGGGCAGAGGUUACAGAAUUCCCCAGGAAAUGGUUCAAGGGUGGGGGGUGGGCAGAGGUCUGAGCCGCUAGACUUGGCCUAAAGCUUUAAAAGAGUUCCCAUGCCACUUGGGAAUGGCAGCCACAGCCCCGGGUCCUAAUUACCCGACCCCAAAUAAAUCACCUUCUGUUCUGUGUGCUUCUGUGUGUUCCUGUCCCACCCCCAGUCCAAGGAAGAGAGUGCUACCUCAUCCCUUCCUCUGGACCCCCACCCUGUCUCCAGCCACCGGCUCUUUCUCGAUGCCCUUCGAUGUGGCUCUUGUCCCGAUUUUUACCUUUAUCCCUUCUUUUGUUAUCAUUGUUGUUUUCUGUUUUGGUUUUACUACAUGCAUGCGGUGUAGACAUGUCAUUUGGCUGUAUGCUUGUCAGUGGAUCUAUACUGUACAUAUUUGGCAAUCUGUUGUUUUUGCUCAACGUUACGUGCUUGAGAUUCAUCCUAAUCUCUUCGUUUCUGCUGCUGACUCGCGUUCCUUUGCAACGAUGCUAAUAAUGGAUUGAUCUCUUCUGCUACCGAAAGGCCAGUGGGUGGUGUAGAGGUUCGUAAACAUUCUCAUAGGGAUUUCCUGUGUUCAUCUCCAAGAAUUCCUCUAGGUAAACACCCAGAAGUGAAAUUGCUUUUCAGGAUAUUUUCAAAUUUAAUACACUAAUUUACACACAAAUAAACAGCACAGCCCAGCAGUGCAUGAUGCUUUAAUUGUUCCACAUCUGCUGGGCGCUUGAUUUUGUCAGGCCAUUUAGUUUCCACCAAUUUGAUGGCCGUGAAAUGUCAGUGUGUCUUUCUCUGUGUUACUAGUGAGGUUGGGCAUACUCGUACGUGCUUAUUCACCAUUCGUGCUGCUUCUAAGAAGUUCUUGUGAACACUUUUGCUCAUUGUUUUAAAAUUUUCAUUUUGCCCUUCUCUCGUGGAUCUGUAGCCAUUCUUUUUUUUUUUUUUAAUUUCUUAAUGUUUAUUUUUGAGAGACAGAGCACAACUUGGGGAGGGGCAGAGAGGGGGGGGGACACAGAAUCCCAAGCAGGCUCCAGGCUCCGAGCUGUCGGCACAGAGACCCACACGGGGCUCGAACUCAUGAACUCUAAGAUCAUGACCUGAGCCCAAGUUGGAGGUUCAACUGACUGAACCCAGGCGCCCCAGGAAUUCUUUGUAUAUUCUGGAUUUGGAUCCCUUGUCAGUUCUGUGUGUUAGGAAUAUCUUUACCCAGCUCGGAACCUAUCCUUUUACUUUUUUAUACUAUCUUCGAUUUGUACAAGUUCUUCAUUCUAAUACAGUCAACCUUGAAUGUUAAUGUAGUUCCAUCUGUCCGUCCAUCCCGUAAUGGCUUACACGCUUUGUGUUUGUUACAGAAAUCUUCCCGGAAGCAGUGUGAGGAAGGCAGAAGCCGCCGCCCUCCCUGGCCUGGCGAAGCCACCCGCCACCAUGCCCAAGAGAAAGGCAAAAGGCGAUGCUAAAGGUGACAAAGCCAAGGUGAAGGGUGAGCCGCAGAGGAGAUCUGCGCGGCUGUCUGCCAAACCCGCUCCCCCAAAACCGGAAGCCAGGCCUCCAAAGGCCGCUGCCAGGAAGGCCGAGAAGCGGCCCAAGGGGAGAAAGGGGAAAGCAGAGGGCGACAGGGUUGGGGACAAGGCCGGGGACAAGGCCGGGAAGAACCCGGACGCUUCCACGGCCCCGUCACAGAAAGCAGAAGGCAGCGGGGACGCCAAAUGAAAUGUACUUUUUUCAUAACUCAACUUCUAGUGACGCUGCUGUUCGAGAUACUGUCUGUCUUCAAUCAGCUUUUAUAAAAGUGUAGAACUUGGGCUCCUAUUUCCAACUUCCGCCGUUGGCAUACAAGACGCAUUGUUGUUGUCCCCCGUGGAAAGCGCAAAUCCCGCUGACAGAAUGUCUCCGGGGCCCGAUUGAAAUGGGGGGAGAUGGCGCCUCGUGUCCUCACUGUUGAAGAUUAUUCUCGGUUCCCGGGAGGGGUCUCCUGUCAGCCCCCCCGGGCUCAGAAGCAGAAGCAAGACCUCAUGGCUUCUCUCCUGAGGCGAGCGGCAUACACUGGCCUUCCUGGAAUAGUCACGACGCGGCCUUGGCGCCCCCAGCCUCCUGUCGGGUGAUCGCACUCAGGCCUUCUGGCCGUAACAGCAACGUGGCGCUGCCCCAAAGAGCCAGGAUCCCUGUGUGUAGUUGGCGGGCGAUCCCAGUGGCCAUCCUGGACUUUUUAGCUCCUCGCCCCCACGUCAGAGUUGACCCGUGAAAAGAUCUCACGUACCUCAUGCGAAAUGUCCACGCCUCCCGAGAACGUCACCUUUUCGGAAGAGCAGCAGAAGACCGUUGACUUGGGGGGGGCGGGGGGGGGAGUUUGAAUGUUGUCGGGCGUCGUGUGGGUUGAUUGUCACCCGUGUCCUCCUGGAAGUGGCUGGUCCUGGAAAGUCUCUCAUAAAAGCUGAACGCACAUUAGCCUGGUGGGAGGGGGAUCAUUUCCCACCCACAGCCCUAGAGAUGUUCUUUCCUGCACCUUAAACAUAGUUUUGCGUUUCACACUCGUCCGCAGUCUUCUCUGCACCGAUCGGCGUGCAAAGUACGAGAUAGAAGUUCAACAUGAUACUGUGUCCAGGUGGGUGAGCCGUGGUCGCCGCUGCGCCAUUUUCUGAAGAGUUCAUUCCUUCCCAUGGGUCCGGAACAGCAGCUCUUUCGAAAACGGAGUCUCUUGGGGGCGGGUGGGGACUCUCUUCUGACUCACUGGUCAGUUUGCCCAACCCCACGGCAGCGCAGUAUAGUCCUGAGCACUACAGCUUUUAGAAAGAGGUCUUGGUAUCUCAGGACAAAUCUCGCCUCCACCUCCAAAAUAAAGUCCCCACCAGACUUGUCUUCUUCGGGAGCAUCGUGGCCAUCCUCAGCCGUUUGCUAACGGCUUUUAGAAUUAGAUUUGCUACAACUUUGAGAAUUAGAUUGAUCAGUCCUUUUCUUUUUAAGUUUGUUUUAAUGUCUAUUCGUUUUUGAGAGACAGAGUGCGCGUAGGGGAGGGGCAGAGAGAGAGGGAGACACAGAAUCCCAAGCAGGCUCCGGGCUCCGAGCUGUCAGCACGGAGCCUGACGUGUGGCUCGAACUCACGAAUCGCGAGAUCGUGACCUGAGCCGACGUCGGGCGCUUAGCCGACUGAGCCACCCAGGCGCCCCUAGCUUGACCAGUUCUAAAACAAAACAAAAAUGCUGGAAUUUUUAUUGGACUUAUAUUGAAUUCAUAGACUAAUUACAACGUCGAGUCUUCCCUUGAACAUGAUGUAGCUCUUCAUUUAUUUAACCUUUGUAAGUGUCUUUCAAUAAAGUUUUCUAAUUUUCUCCAUAAAUGUCUAUUGUUAAUAUUUCCUAGGGACUUUAUACUUUUUGAUGCUGUUUUUGUGGUAUGUUUUUAGUUCCUG